rnacentral:rRNA from 1 species
CCCUUAGAUGUUCUGGGCUGCACGCGCGCUACACUGACGCACGCAACAGGUGCCUGCUCCGAGAGGACUGGGUAAUCAUUUGAGUGUGCGUCGUGAUGGGGAUAGAAUAUUGUAAUUAUUACUCUUCAACGAGGAAUUCCUAGUAAGCGCCAGUCAGCAGCUUGCGCUGAUUACGUCCCUGCCCUUUGUACACACCGCCCGUCGCUCCUACCGAUGGGUGAUCCGGUGAAUGAUUCGGAGUGUGAACUCUACAGUUUCUGUUUUGUUCGCGCAAAGUUGAAUAAACCUUAUCACUUAGAGGAAGGAGAAGUCGUAACA